GGCUCUAUGAGACUGCUGCAAAGGCACUCGUUGUUGAAUACCCUGUCCUUAGAGACACAAUUGGUACUGGUUGGGACUCUUGGAAAGUAUCCAUCCAGUAUAAAUUCGGGUACAUGCGAAGAACUCUGAGUACUGUGCCUGCUGUACAGGCAGCCAAGGAGGCCUACGGAAAACGGAAACCUCAAGAUAGUGCCGUUGCUGCACAAACUAAACGGCAACGCCGCGUGGUAGCAAUUUCUGUUUUUAAGUUCAUUUCAAUGUUUUACAAGUAACAUUUGCAUGUGGCUUAGCUCGCUAAUAACAGUCUACGGCUUCAUCAUCGCUUGAGUAAGUGAAGUGUUUU